rnacentral:miRNA from 10 species
UCACAGUAAAGUAAGCCAUUAU